GUGCUCGCUUCGGCAGCACAUGCACUAACAUUGGAACGAUACAGAGAAGAUUAGCAUAGCCCCUGCGCAAGGAUGACGCACAAAGUCGGGAAGCGUUCUGUACUUUU